AUGCAUCAGCAGGCUCUAAUCACCUUGACAAGCCUCACCUGGGCCACCAGCCCUUCUCCCAGGGCUGUAUUUAAGCUCAGGCCCUUGCCCCCACUCCUUUUUUGGAGCAGUGCUGUGUUUGUGCUGUGCCUUGCUCCUUGCUCUCUCCAGCCUGACUGCCUGCUGUGGUCUUGGUGCUUCCUCACCCCUGUGGACUUAUCUGGUGGUCUGCAGGUCCUGCUCUGCUUUCUGUGCUUAGGUGGCUCCAGCUCAGCUCCUUCUGCAGAGCAUCCUGCUUGCUGUACCCAGCAGGUAUAUUUUGUGGUGCUUCCUGGUGCUCCUGUAACUGUUUGCUCGGACAGAAAGCGUCGUGGCAUCGCAGGAGCAGGCACAGAAAAGCAGUGGGAAGAUGGAGCUGCAGGGAAAAACUCCAAGAGCCAGCGGGAUGGGCUGCUAAUACUUGGGUAUGUUUUUAGAAGGCUGAAUGUUUGAGAUUUUCCUCCUGCAAAACCACUGGAAUAACGCUGCCUAUGGAUAGCUUGAAUGCCUGGAAACAGUGGCUGUAGGUUACAGAUUGUUGUACUUUAACCUGGCAGGCAGCUGAGCGCUGCAGAGCCAGGUGGGGGAGAGAAUCACAAAAAGGUAAAACUUGUGGGUCAAGAUAAAGGCAGUUUAAGGCAGGAAAGGCAGAAAAAAUAAUAAAAUCCUAAAUCCAACACA
rnacentral:lncRNA from 1 species